GGCGGCUGAUCAGCAGAUGGGAAACAGGUGAGCUUGAUUGCUUCAGGUGUGCUGGACUGGAGGUUGGGAAUCCUGGAAGGAUUUCGCCCCUGCAAGGGACGUGAAAUCAUCCAAUCAUCUACCUCAGUUUCCUAUCUAUAUAGUUCCACCACCAGACUAAAGGCUACUAGUGUUACCUGCCAGACUGCGCUUGCUAAUCCACCCCAGCCUCACCUUGCCACCUGGCUCACUCUGCACCAACAAAACACCCUCGUUUCUACUCAGGUUUCUCUAUCAUUGGCUGUAUCAGUUCAUGCCCUUCA